rnacentral:rRNA from 1 species
AAAUUGAAGAGUUUGAUCAUGGCUCAGAUUGAACGCUGGCGGCAGGCCUAACACAUGCAAGUCGAACGGUAACAGGAAGCAGCUUGCUGCUUCGCUGACAAGUGGCGGACGGGUGAGUAAUGUCUGGGAAACUGCCUGAUGGAGGGGGAUAACUACUGGAAACGGUGGCUAAUACCGCAUGACGUCGCAAGACCAAAGAGGGGGACCUCCGGGCCUCUUGCCAUCAGAUGUGCCCAGAUGGGAUUAGCUUGUUGGUGAGGUAACGGCUCACCAAGGCGACGAUCCCUAGCUGGUCUGAGAGGAUGACCAGCCACACUGGAACUGAGACACGGUCCAGACUCCUACGGGAGGCAGCAGUGGGGAAUAUUGCACAAUGGGCGCAAGCCUGAUGCAGCCAUGCCGCGUGUAUGAAGAAGGCCUUCGGGUUGUAAAGUACUUUCAGCGGGGAGGAAGGUGUUGUGGUUAAUAACC